CUCCUGGAAAACGGGUGGUAAUGCCGGAUGUUCCACAUGAGCGCAUGCGAGUGUGGGAAAGGCUUUUUGCGGCAUGGGAUGGGGUCGCGUCCUAUCAGCUUGUUGGUGGGGUAACGGCCUACCAAGGCGUUGACGGGUAGCCGGCCUGAGAGGGCGACCGGCCACAUUGGGACUGAGAUACGGCCCAGACUCCUACGGGAGGCAGCAGUGGGGAAUAUUGCACAAUGGGCGCAAGCCUGAUGCAGCGACGCCGCGUGCGGGAUGGAGGCCUUCGGGUUGUAAACCGCUUUUGUUCAAGGGCAAGGCAGGCUUUCGGGCCUGUUGAGUGGAUUGUUCGAAUAAGCACCGGCUAACUACGUGCCAGCAGCCGCGGUAAUACGUAGGGUGCAAGCGUUAUCCGGAUUUAUUGGGCGUAAAGGGCUCGUAGGCGGUUCGUCGCGUCCGGUGUGAAAGUCCAUCGCUUAACGGUGGAUCCGCGCCGGGUACGGGCGGGCUUGAGUGCGGUAGGGGAGACUGGAAUUCCCGGUGUAACGGUGGAAUGUGUAGAUAU
rnacentral:rRNA from 1 species